rnacentral:rRNA from 1 species
AGAGUUUGAUCCUGGCUCAGGACGAACGCUGGCGGCGUGCUUAACACAUGCAAGUCGAACGAUGAAAUCUCUUCGGAGAUGGAUUAGUGGCGAACGGGUGAGUAACACGUGGGCAAUCUGCCCUGCACUCUGGGACAAGCCCUGGAAACGGGGUCUAAUACCGGAUGAUACUUCUGCUCGCAUGGGUGGGGGUUGAAAGCUCCGGCGGUGCAGGAUGAGCCCGCGGCCUAUCAGCUUGUUGGUGAGGUAGUGGCUCACCAAGGCGACGACGGGUAGCCGGCCUGAGAGGGCGACCGGCCACACUGGGACUGAGACACGGCCCAGACUCCUACGGGAGGCAGCAGUGGGGAAUAUUGCACAAUGGGCGAAAGCCUGAUGCAGCGACGCCGCGUGAGGGAUGACGGCCUUCGGGUUGUAAACCUCUUUCAGCAGGGAAGAAGCGCAAGUGACGGUACCUGCAGAAGAAGCGCCGGCUAACUACGUGCCAGCAGCCGCGGUAAUACGUAGGGCGCAAGCGUUGUCCGGAAUUAUUGGGCGUAAAGAGCUCGUAGGCGGUCUGUCGCGUCGGAUGUGAAAGCCCGGGGCUUAACCCCGGGUCUGCAUUCGAUACGGGCAGACUAGAGUGUGGUAGGGGAGAUCGGAAUUCCUGGUGUAGCGGUGAAAUGCGCAGAUAUCAGGAGGAACACCGGUGGCGAAGGCGGAUCUCUGGGCCAUUACUGACGCUGAGGAGCGAAAGCGUGGGGAGCGAACAGGAUUAGAUACCCUGGUAGUCCACGCCGUAAACGGUGGGAACUAGGUGUUGGCGACAUUCCACGUCGUCGGUGCCGCAGCUAACGCAUUAAGUUCCCCGCCUGGGGAGUACGGCCGCAAGGUAAAACUCAAAGGAAUUGACGG